GGAAUAUUGGUCAAUGGGCGAGAGCCUGAACCAGCCAUGCCGCGUGCAGGAAGACGGCGUUCUGCGUUGUAAACUGCUUUUAUACGGGAAGAAACGGCCCAUGCGUUGGAUAUUGCCGGUACCGUAUGAAUAAGCACCGGCUCACUCCGUGCCAGCAGCCGCGGUAAUACGGAGGGUGCAAGCGUUGUCCGGAUUUACUGGGUUUAAAGGGUGCGUAGGCGGCUUAAUAAGUCAGCGGUGAAAGUUUGCGGCUUAACCGUAAAAUUGCCGUUGAUACUGUUGAGCUUGAGUGCCGAUGGGGUACAUGGAAUUUAUGGUGUAGCGGUGAAAUGCAUAGAUACCAUAAGGAACACCGAUAGCGAAGGCAUUGUACUGAUCGGCAACUGACGCUGAGGCACGAAAGCGUGGGUAGCGAAC
rnacentral:rRNA from 1 species